CGAACCGGGGGAACUGAAACAUCUAAGUACCCCGAGGAAAAGAAAUCAACCGAGAUUCCCCCAGUAGCGGCGAGCGAACGGGGAGCAGCCCAGAGCCUGAAUCAGUAUGUGUGUUAGUGGAAGCGUCUGGAAAGGCGCGCGAUACAGGGUGACAGCCCCGUACACAAAAAUGCACAUGCUGUGAGCUCGAUGAGUAGGGCGGGACACGUGGUAUCCUGUCUGAAUAUGGGGGGACCAUCCUCCAAGGCUAAAUACUCCUGACUGACCGAUAGUGAACCAGUACCGUGAGGGAAAGGCGAAAAGAACCCCGGCGAGGGGAGUGAAAAAGAACCUGAAACCGUGUACGUACAAGCAGUGGGAGCACGCUUAGGCGUGUGACUGCGUACCUUUUGUAUAAUGGGUCAGCGACUUAUAUUCUGUAGCAAGGUUAACCGAAUAGGGGAGCCGAAGGGAAACCGAGUCUUAACUGGGCGUUAAGUUGCAGGGUAUAGACCCGAAACCCGGUGAUCUAGCCAUGGGCAGGUUGAAGGUUGGGUAACACUAACUGGAGGACCGAACCGACUAAUGUUGAAAAAUUAGCGGAUGACUUGUGGCUGGGGGUGAAAGGCCAAUCAAACCGGGAGAUAGCUGGUUCUCCCCGAAAGCUAUUUAGGUAGCGCCUCGUGAAUUCAUCUCCGGGGGUAGAGCACUGUUUCGGCAAGGGGGUCAUCCCGACUUACCAACCCGAUGCAAACUGCGAAUACCGGAGAAUGUUAUCACGGGAGACACACGGCGGGUGCUAACGUCCGUCGUGAAGAGGGAAACAACCCAGACCGCCAGCUAAGGUCCCAAAGUCAUGGUUAAGUGGGAAACGAUGUGGGAAGGCCCAGACAGCCAGGAUGUUGGCUUAGAAGCAGCCAUCAUUUAAAGAAAGCGUAAUAGCUCACUGGUCGAGUCGGCCUGCGCGGAAGAUGUAACGGGGCUAAACCAUGCACCGAAG
rnacentral:rRNA from 1 species